UUUUUUUUUUUGGUAUAGACAGGGUUUUGCCAUGUUGCCCAGGCUGGUCUUGAACUCUUGGGCUCAAGUAAUCUGCUCACCUCAGCCUGCCAGUUUAUCCUUUCUGGCAUUUGUUGGUCUUGCACAUAUUGAUUAAUAUUUUUGAUCAGAUUUGGGAUUUGGGAGCCAUUAUUCAUUCACAUAUUUUUUCUGCCCCUUUUCUCUCCUCUCAUUAUGUUUGUUAUAUUUACUAAGAGUAAUUCUUUUUCAUUAUUUUAUAAUAAGAGAACUUAUGAUAGCAUUGGCUGAAUUUCCUAAGUAAUGUUCUUGUUUUGUUGUUUGCUAAAUAUGCUUGAUUAUAACUUAUAUUUAUUCUUUUACUCAAUAGUUAUUUAGUGUGAUGCUUCAUGUUGAGGAUUUCUGGCUUUCUUUUUCCUCAAAAAAAUCAUGUUUUUAUUUCAUUGUAAUGAGACAAUGUGGGUGCUGUCAUUUCCUACAUGCUUAGUUUUUAAUAACAACCUUAUGUUGCAGGACACAUCCCUCAUUCUUCUUUUUUCCAAAAUUUUAUCUCAUUAUCAUGUAGUUAUUUUAUGUGAACUAUAGAAACAGCUUGUCGAGUGUUCACAAAUAUCACUGGAAUUUAAAUUGGAAUGGCCCUGAAUUUGUAGAUUAAUUUUGGGAGAGCUGUCAUUUUUACAAUCUUCCCAUACAUUAAUGUAAUAUUUUUCUCCUUUUAUUCGGGUCUUCGGUAUCUGCGUAUGUAUAUUCUACUUAUUACUUUUAAUCUCCCCCAUUUUCUGGAAAAAAAAGAUGUCUUUGGAAGUGCAAUUCUGGUGGGAAAAGUGUAGAUGUCAUCUGCAUAGACUAGAGCCAAUCAGUAGGGAAUGUCAUUCAAAAUGUGUUUUGUGUUUGAUCUUACCAUUUCUUUCAAAUGUUCCUAGCAGCCUGCAUUAUUUAUAAUGUUCUGUAUUCCUGGUUUAGGUAAGUCCAGAGGUGAGAGCUGGUAUUAGGAAAAUGACAUAGUAAGGCAUUUGUUUUCAGUAAUGGCAGCAUCCGUUUGACCUCCUUUCCCAUUUGGAAGGGCUUUCUCCAUCCUGAAAGCUCCUGUAGACUUGGUGCUCUUUUUUUUUUUAGGAUUCAUACCAGUUGAAGACUUUCAAAGCCUUCAGUGUAACUGGUUAUGUUCUUACUAGAAAAGUAUUUAGGGCCAGGCGCAGUGGCUCAUGCCUGCAAUCCCAGCACCUUGGGAGGCCGAGGCAAGUGGAUCACUUGAGGUCAGGAGUUCGAGAUCAGCCUGGCUAACAUGGUGAAACACUGUCUCUACGAAAAGUACAAAAAUUAGCCAGUCGGGGUGGUGCGGGCCUGUAGUCCCAGCUACUCAGGAGGCUGAGGCAGGAGAAUCGCUUGAACCUGGGAGGUGGAGGUUGCAGUGAGCCGAGAUUACACCACUGCACUCCAGCCUGGGAGACAGAGAGAGACUCUGUCAAAAAAAAAAAAAAAGAAAGGAAGGAAGGUAGGUAGGUAGGUGGGUAUUUGGGGCCAGCUGGCCUGUAAUCCCAGCACUUGGAGGCUGAGGUGGGUGAAUCACUUGAGGUCAGGAGUUUGAGACCAGCCUGGCCAACAUGGUGAAACCCUGUCACUACUAAAAAUACAAAAAUUAGCUGGGCGUGGUAGUGCCACUUGUAAUCCCAACUACUGGGGAGGCUGGAACCUCGGAGGCGGAGAUUGCAGUGGGCUAAGAUCGUGCCACUCCAGCCUGAGUGAGACUCCAUUUCACAAAAAAAAAAAAAAAAAAAGAAAGGGAAAAAAAGAAAAGAAAAGAAAAAAGUAUUUGGAACCAAAGAAGAUAAGAAUUCUGUUCCAUUUGGUAGUUUAUUUUAAUUCUAAGAGCAACUCUUUGAGAGGAAGCUGGAGGAGAACAUCCAUGAUACGGAGAGGGAUCUGAAUGUAGAUGUUAUGAGAAGCAUCAUAGGAAGUAGAGCUGUUUAUAUUGUAGGAGAACUCCAAAAAGAAGAAUUUGUCUUUGCUUUGUUGUCUUCUGUCUGUUUUCAGAUCUCUUAUUGGGUCAGGGACAGUUGUCUUUUGCUGCUUUUGAAGGCAGUUCUAAUUAAUAGAGAAGCAGUUUUAAGGACUCUCCAAAGAUGAUUCUUGGAAGUGACACCUAGAGGCUUGUAUGAACACUGGGAAUUGAACUUCAGAAUCUCCUUGGGUGGAAUGAGUUGGAUUACAUGCACUCGAAGGUCACUUUUAUUCCUGAGAUUCUGUGAAGGUCUCGAUUGGCAAAUGAGUGUGCUACUUUACAUGUUCCCAUUUAAUCAUCACACCAACCCUCUGAGGCAUGUUAGAGAGGUAGAGUAGGUUUUCUAAGGUAAUGUCUAAUUAAUGGCAGAGCACACUCCCCCACACAUAUAGCUUAAUUCUCCUACAUUUGUAUAGCCCUUCCUUCUUUCCUUCGUUCCUUCGUUCCUUCCUUCCUUCCUUCCUUCCUUCCUUCCUUCCUUCCUUCCUUCCUUCCUUCCUUCCUUCCUUCCUUCCUUCCUUUCUGCAUCUGGCUGUGUUGGCCAGGUUGGUCUUGAACUCCUGGGCUCAAGCAGUCAUUCCACCUAAGCCUCCUAAAGUCCUGGGAUUGUAGGGGUGAGCCACCGAGCCCAACCUUUUUAUUUUUAUUUUUAGUUAAUUGAUUUAGUUUUGUACUUUAUUGUUUCUAGAAGCUUUUUACAAACAUGGUUUUAUUUGACCCUUAUAACAGUUUGGUUAGGAAUAAGAACAGAUUCACCAAUGUGUCUAAUUUAUAGGUGGAAAACAGGCUCAGAAGCUCUUUAGAAUAUCAUGAGAAGAAGGGAUGUGGGGAAUUAUUCAAUACAACUUCUGUAUUUUGCACUUCAAGAAACUGAGUACCAGAGUUAAAAAUCUGGACAUUUGGUGGAUGUUCUUAGAUUUGUGUUAAUGCAAGAGGGUUGGAUUAGAUGAUCUCACAGGGUAUGGGAAUGGAUGGUGUGUUCCCUGUAUCUACUGUGUAGUGUAAAGUUAAUUGAUACUAGCUCAACAUAUUAGAUUAAGUGGCAUUUUAGCAAACAUGAAUGAAAGGCACCAAAGGUUUAAGGGGGAAUUUAAAACAUUAGGUAGCAGCUUGUAGAGGAUAUAUUUAGGGUCAUGAUGUCCUUCUUGUUGGCCUUAAAAACACUUCCUGCGCCAGGUUCAAGGGUCAAUUGGGAACAGGAUCAACAGAGGAUGAGGGUUUUUUUUUGUUUGUUUUUGUAUCAUUUUAAGACAAGGUCUCACUCUGUUGCUCAGGCUGGAGUGCGGUGGUACAAUCCCAGCUCACUGCAGCCUCCGCCUCCCUGAGCUCAGAUGAUCCUUCCACCUCUGCCUCCUGGGUAGCUGGGACUGCAGGCACAUGUCACCAUGCCUGGCUAAUUUUUGUAUUUUUCGUAGAGAUGGGGUUUUGCCAUGUUGUCCAGGCUGGUCUUAAACUCCUGGGCUCAAGUGAUCUGCCCACCUCAGCCACCGAAAGUGCUGGGAUUAUAGGUGUCAACCGCCACACCCAACCAAAUGAGUUAUAAGUUUGUGAUCUGUUUUUAGCCUUUGUCCACAACUGUGGGAGUCACCAUUCACUCUGUGACAUAGGCUCUCAGAAUGAUGGCUCUCUUGACUGUGGCACUGAUCAUAGAUUUAGAAGCUCCAGUAUGGGAGGACCUUAAAAGUCUCCUAUCCCAAAUAGAUUAUUUUAAACUAACCCCAGUUCAAGUCCCUGGAUAACAUACCCAACAAAUGGUCUUUUAACUUCUGAGUAAGUUUACUUGGUAACUGGGGACUCCUCCUUGAGUUAGCUUGUCCCUUCUUUUGAGACCUCUUUACAACAUUGAGCCCCAAAAUGUUUUUCUAUAGCUUCAAUUCAUUCAGCAUAUUUGUAUUGUACCACUACUCAAGAACAUUGCUUUAUUCUCACUCCUGCAUAUUCAGCAUCUCUCCUCUCUGCUGUCAUUUGAGCUGCCAGGCACUGUGCUGGGUAGUGGGGAUAUGGAGAUGAAUUAGACACCAUCCCCGUCCUCAAGGAGUUCUCAGUCUAGUGAGAGAGAUCAACAUCUAUGUACACAUAUAAUUACAACAAUAUGGUAUGCUCUACAAUGGAGGUAUGUAUAAGAUACUCUGGAGUUCAAAGAGAAAUCAUUUUACAGAGUCUGGAGAUGACAGAGCUCAGAGUACCUGGUAUAUGAGUUGAGUCUUUAAAGAAGUAAAGUCACCUUUUGACUAGGUGAAAAACAGGGAAAGGCUUUCCAAGCAAAAGCAUGGACAUUGGAAGUAGUAUGAUGAGUUUGGGGAACUACAAAUAGUUCUCUAAAUUAGGUUGGAAAUGUAGGCCAGGAAUAGAACUUUAUAUGGUAUGCCAUGGGAUUUGGAUUUCAUUAUAAGUGUUUUCAGAAAGGGAUGCUUUUAGAUGAUCACUGGCAGUAGUGUGGGGUGUGUUCAGGAAUGUUUUCAAAUCUGGACAGGGAGAUGAGUUAGAAGGAUACUGUGGUGGCUAAGAUGAGAAAUGAUGUAGGGCUGAAAGGAGUGGGAGUGGCGAAGAGGGGAUAACCUCUUAGGAAGUUAUAAAAAUUUAGUCAUGCAUUGCUUAGCAAUGGGGAUAUGUUCUGAGAAGUGUAUUGUUAGGCGAUUUUGUCAUGUGAACUUCAUAGAGUAUAUUAACACAAACCUCUCUAAAUGGUAUAGCCUAUUACACACCUAGGCUACAAACCUGUACAGCAUAUGACUGUACUGAAUACUGUAGGCAAUUAUAACAGAAUGGUAAGUAUUUGUGUACCUAAACAUAUAUAAACAUAGAAAAGCUACAGUAAAAAUAUGAUAUGAUUUUGUGGUGGGACAACUGUGGGACAACUGUCAUAUAUGAGGUUCAUCAUUGUCCUAAACAUUGUUAGGCAGCACAUGACUGUAUAGACAUAAUAGAACUUAUAGGAAAAGUUAUAGAAAAACUUAUAGAAAAAGACCUUGAUGAAAAAUACUGUCAUAUUCUUUGGAUGAAUGUUGCAAUUAACUCCUUUUAGAUCAUAACUUGACUGUACAGAUUGUGCAAGAUUGUUUUCUGGGAACAGCUGUAUAUGAAAUGUUGAUUCUCAGGGAGACACCUAGACACCUGAAUUGCAGCAGACAUUUUAUGGUGUUGCUAAGUUGCUGGUCCUUCUCAUCAGUAGCAGGCCUACUCUCACUGUCACAUAUCUCCCACGGUUUUUUUUUUUUUUUUUUUUUUUUUUUUUGUAAUUAACCAAAAGUGAAGGCUUUUAUAUCAAAGACUCAAUUGAGGAAGCAGUGGCCUUAGUCAUUAUUGGCAUAAUUGCUUUAGUUUGCUUAUGGAUCUUAAAACGUUUAUGACUAUAUCUGCAAGUAAAAAAAAAAUUCAAUAAUUAAAAACCUAAACAUAUCGAGUGUUUAUUUUCUCUUUUUGCAAAGGUAUAUUCUAAACUCAAUGUUCUUCGGGAAAUUUUCCAAUUAAGGCUCUGAGUAUUGAUAUUUGGGAUUUAGAGAAUGGCUUUCUAUGACCAGAAUGGUUAGUGAUGAGAUUUUAUGUAAGUAGGACUGGGUUUUUCAGGGGGCCUUGUGUAACUUGCCAUCAAGAGUUGGGAAAGGAGGCCCUGAGCAGUGCAGCAGAGCUAUGUAAAGUGAGAGUUUGGGUCUUGGGACCAGGUAGCCUGGGCUCAAAUCUGCUCUCACACUUAGCAAUGUGGUCUUGAGCAUGAUUCUUCACUUCCCCAGGACUCUGUUUUCUCUUAUGUAAAAUAGGAAUAAUAUUUAUUUUCAAUGAUGGGGGUAAAAAGUACUUAAAGGGACUAAUUAUGUAAAUUGCUUAGAACAGGCCUGGAAUAUACAGCUAAAUGCUGUGUCAACUGUUGUUGCUGAUAAUGGUGUUGACUAUGACAAGUAUUAAAAGAAGAGAUUUGACUAGAGGUACUUAUAUUUUGAAUGAUCAGUGACGAUGUUAGGGUUGAGAAAGAAAAACAGUAACUGACUUGAAGGUUUUCAAUGGUAUGUAAGUGUGAGGUCAUUUCACCUUUUAUUUCUCUGCCAGGUAGAGUGGGAAACCAAAUUAAUCACUCCAUGAUCUAGUGACUAAUCUAUUGCCUUUGCUUUUAGUUCCAAAUAGAAAGCUGUUGAAAAGUUGUUGUAUUACACCUGCAUAAAGGUUAUCCUGAAAACAGAAAAAUGCAUUAGACUUUGUCAAAACUGGAUUUGAAACCUAAUUCAACUGCUUGCUGGCUGUGUGACUUAAACUUGUUGAACUUCAGUUUCUUCCUCUAAUAUAACUAUUAAUUUUCAGAGUUUCCAUGAAGAUAUUUGUAAAGUGUUUGUCAUAGGCACUCUAUACAUUAAUUACAGCUAUUAUUGUUAGAUCUUGGGACACCCAGCACGUGACAAAAACAACAGCAGACCCUGGUGCCUGGGAGGACUUCAUGGAUCCAGCAGCAACCUGGAGUGGUGCUCCUCUGAAGAAAUCCUACUCGGAUGGAUAUAAUACAACCUGCUAAGUGUCCUAGCACUUAGCAGGUUGUAUUAUCAUUGUCCGUGUCUAUGGCUCUCGUCUACCAGACUUUAAAUUCCUUAAGGGCAAGGACAGUGCCUUACUCAUCUUUGUAUUCACAGUGCCUAAUCCGGUGCACAUUGUAGGCCUCAUUAAAUGUUUGUUGAAUGAAAAAAUGAAUCAUCAACAGACAUUAAUUGGGCGCCUGCUCUGUGAUCUCCAUGGGCUCAGCUUGUCCCCGCCAGUUGCCAACAACGUCCAAGCUCUCUUCAGAAUGCUUACUCCUGAAGCUUAUUCCUGUCUUCUAAUUCUUUUGUUGAGGACUUUUCUGUGUAGUGCAAUGAUAGCAAAUACACUUCAUCUCAAGUACCAUCUCCAAUUGAUUGAUAAUGCCUGCCCUGAUUAUGUUUUAUAACAAGAUUCUGAAACCAGGUCUUAUCUCAGUGUGAAAGACAUUUAUAACUAUUUAGUGAUGUCUGCUGAGGGUCGGAGAAGGGGGAGUAGCAGCACAAGUGCCUCAUAUGUCAUAUUUGCUACUCUGUUUUCUAUGAAAUACUUCAUUUCUAUGCCUGCAUUUUGGUCUUAGCUACUUGCUGAUGUUGCAUGGCUGUUGCUGCUACUGUAAUUGCUGCUAAUUGCUCCCUGGGUUGGACCAGAGUGCUCAUUGUCUGAACAGAAACCUCAUCCUCACAGUCUGAGGUUUGCUCCUGUGGCUGAUAUUUAAAGUUUUCCCCUUUCAACUUUACUCCAGCUAUCCCCUUACCUGCACUGACAGGUAAUCCUCCACCGUCCUGUUCACCUCUCACCAGGUUCAUAUUUUCUUUAUCUUAUUUAUUGUACUUAAUCAUUAUUUUGUGAGAAGCUUUUCUGAUUGUAGAUGUGACAACCAGAAUACAAGUUAAAACCACUUAUCCAGCGCCUUACAGUGAAUCAUUUAACAUGAGAAAAAAAUUGAGUGUGUUUGCAGACCAUGGGGCAGAAGGAAUUGAGAAGGGAGUCAUUGUAGAUGUGAGAAAGAGAGAGAUGAUAAUAGAUGGAAGAUGAUCUUGAAAGAUGAUGCAGGUGAAGCUGGAAGGGUGAAAUUUAUGGCUCUAGAACACAUGCAGGUGGAGGGUUAGCCUUAGGUAAGUGGAACUACCUCUUUGCUGGAGCACAGAGAUAGGGAUAGGAGUAAGGAAGAGGACUUGGCAAGGGUGGUGAAGAUUUGUAAUUGUAGAGGUGGAUGAUGGGGAGGAAGCUGACCAGGAACAGGAAUAUGAAGACAAAAGCUGCUGGAACAGAAAUACUAGAGGGCUAAAUAUGAACCAGAGUCCCUAAGGAAUAUUCAGGCCAAAACGCUGGAGUGAGACCAUUAACAGGAGAGCUUAUGGUAUAUCAAAGUAAGAAAUGAGUUUGAAACUGGGUUAGAAGCUCAGGAAAAUAUGAAGUGGUUUUGGGGCAUUGUCACUAGCAGUAUUUGGUUGCCUUGAUUGAUUGAGGGGUGGACAGCUAGCAAGAGACGAGUUACACAGAAAUGGAUUUAAGAAUCCAAACUAAGGCCGGGCGCGGUGGCCCACACCUGUAAUCACAGCACUUUGGAAGGCCAAGGUGGGCAGGUCACCUGAGGUCAGGAGUUCGAGACCAGCCUGACCAACAUGGUGAAACCCUGUCUCUACUAAAAAUGCAAAAAUUAGCCAGGUGUGGUGGCACAUGCCUGUAAUCCCAGCUACUCAGGAGGCUGAGGCAGGAGAAUCACUUGAACCCAGGAGGCGGAGGUUGCAGUGAGCCGAGAUCCCACCCACUGUACUCCAGCCUGGGUAACAGAGUGAGACUUCAUUUAAAAAAAAAAAUCCAACCUGGACAUGGAAGGAAGUAAGGUCAGGAGUGGCCUCAGUCUGGGCCAAAAAGAGGCUUUAAUGUGAACAAGGUGAGUGCUGAGUAAUUGGAAAACUGGAGUGAUAGGACCUGUAAUCAGAGUAGACUUUGGAGUGUUAGAUUUCAAAACUGGAGUGGUUAAGAUACCUGUGAAGCUAGGAUGUCAGAUGAUCAUUUACAUGACUAUUAUAGUAACCCAGGAUUAUAGUAGAAGCUAGGCUUAGAAUGAACACUGGGCCAGGUACAAAAGGCUUCAGUGACUGUGAGGAAUGACUUGGAGGUUGGCACAUGUUAACUGCAAAUACUAGAGAAGAAAGGCUGUAGUGGGAUAGUAGAUGAGCCUUAGAAGAGUGGGGGGAUCCAGGUGAUUCCUUCUUUUAUUGAGUAUUUGCUCUAUGCCUGACACCUUGCUAUAUGCCAUCUGUUCCCUCUUUUGGGUCUGUCACACUUCAGGAGUGGGAGAAUGCGCAAGAAUUCCUGGUGAGAACAGCUAGGGGAGCUGUUGGCCUUUAGCACUGCUGGAAUCCUGUGGCCGUCUCCUAACUCUUUCAAAGAGCUGCAGGCUGGUCAGCUUGAAGUGGCAUAAAAAGAUUUAUUUAGGAUCUAAAUUUUUCCUUGAUCUUGACCUAAGUUAGUUACAUGUUACAAGCAUUUGUUGGCCAUGUUCCAUAAUGUACUUUGGCUUCUGAGCCUCUGAGUUGAAGAGUGAGCUAGUGCUGCUCUUAAAAAACAACAACAAAAACAAAAAACCAGUCAUAGUACACACAUGUUGAUUAACCGGAGCAAGACACAAUCCUAUUAAUUCAGCUUUUUAGGAUAAAGGGUAGACAAAAGAAAGCUCACAUCAAUAGGUGAGUAACAACUACUUUGUAAAAGCCACUCUAGGGUCAGAAUACAUCCAGUUUAGUGGUCCAUAUUGUAGAAUUUCCCUGUGCUGUUAGGGAAGAGGGCUGGCAAUUGAGGCACAGAGAUGGCCUUAAGGACAAGGAAGGUAAAGCUUAGGAGAAGAGAGUCUAUAAAACCUCUGACAUGGCAUGCAGACAUUUUUCUUUUGAGUACAUUUUACUGGGGAGAGGAUCCAUGUCUUUUAUAUUCUCCAAAUGACUCAAUAUUCCAAAAGAAGUUUAAGAACUACUGUGUUAAAGUGAUCAGGCCCUCAGACAACCCAUCCCCUCUUGUAGGGGCUGCUUUGUAUUUAUUCCUCAGGAGGAGCUGGUAGAAGACUUAAUGUGAGGGAGAAGAAAAGGAAAGAAGUAGCGGGGGAUGACUACAACCUCUCUUCAUCUCAGCUUCACAAAGCAUCAUUCAACAAAUGGAUCACUAUUAAGAUCCUCUCCAGAUCACAGGUUGCUAUUUUCAAAUGCAUGCUUAGAUUUCUCUUUUCUCUUGUCGCAUUUCAGAAGUUACUGUACUCACCGAUAUGUGUAUAUGAAUAGUUACUUCCCAUACAGCUCCCCAUGUUUACGGGAAAAAAAAUUCUUAAAACAUGGUAGAGUACUUGCUCUGUUUGGCCUUCAAUAAUGUUGUGGAUCCCCACUGCUGGAAUAUAGGCCACCAGAGAUGGGUUUGGAUUUCAGCAAUAAAUGACCCAGCUUCAUAGAAGGAGAGUAGUCAGCUGAUUUGAAAGUAAACCCAAUCCUUGUGCUCAUAUUUGUUUACUUUUUCCUUAAGCCUUAUAAGUAAGACAUAUCACUGAUGAGAUCAAACAAAAGCCAUAACUUUCUCCUUCCACUGGCACUUUUCUUUCCCACGUAUAUGCCUUUGGGAGCCACCCUCUUCUUUCAUUUGCACUUUCGUCCCAUCACUUAAGACCCAGAGAGGCAUGAAUGCUAAGGUUGAGGUUGAAUUUGUCAUAGUUAUGGCUGGAGUUGAAAAAUACUCAAAUUGAUUACUCUGAUGCCCACGCCUUACCUGAUCUCAUAUCAGCCAUUGGAGAUGUAGUCAAGGCCAGCAACUCUGCGAACUCCAGCCCCAGGAUUUAUGCCUGAUGUCUCAACUGAUCAUGAAAUACUGGUAGGAGGGCUUUCCCCAUCCCAGGUCCCCCUUCUGAUUUGGUCAUCAGAUAUGUCCUUGUUUUAGGACAUACAGAUAUGAACAGAAACAAUAUCAGGAGUCCUGGUUAGUUUUUGUCUCUCGAGGAUGGGCAGGAUAGGUUAUAAGGGAAGUGGAAAUUCUUGUGUGUUUCAAAUACAUUCCUUCUUUGUGGCGGGGAGAUGGAGUCUUGCUCUGUCGCCCAAGCUGGAGUGUAGUGGCGCCAUCUUGUCAUCUUGGCUCACUGCAACCUCUGCCUCCUGAGUUCAAGCAAUUCUACUGCCUCAGUCUCUCAAGUAGCUGGGACUAUAAGCACAUGGCACCACACCCAGCUAAUUUUUGUAUUUUUAGUAGAGAUGGGGUUUCACCAUGUUGGCCAGGCUGGUCUUGAACUCCUGACCUCAAGUGAUCUGCCUGCCUUCGGCCUCCCAAAGUGCUGGGAUUACAGGCGUUAGCCACUGUGCCUGAGUCAAAUACAUUCCUAAUGAAUCCCCAGGAGACCUUUGCUCACAUCUUCUGUCACCUUAUCCUGGCUCUUGCCUCAUUUUUCUUUUCUAGAGUCAUCCUAGGGAAUUUCUUGCCCUCACUGACCUUCCUCCAUUUCUUUCCCCACCUUGAUGAGUUUCAGUAGGUCUUUUUUGCUUUCUCUCGUCCUAAGCCAUUUGUCUCUAACAAGUCCCCAUCUGAAAGUUUUAUUGUGAAUGAGUGAAUGAAACCUUAGAGAGUGUUGCGAGUUACAUUCAUGUUGCCCUUGGAUAUAAAAAGAGAGGCAGAUGCAUUUGCUUUUGGGGUCUUAGUCGUGAAUCCUUUGCCUAGGCCAAUGUCCAGAAAAGUUUUUCCUGGUUAUACUGUAGAAAUGUCAUGGUUUCGGGUCUUAGAUUUAAGUCAUUGUUCUAUUUUGAGUUGAUUUUUGUAUAAGGUAAGAGAGAUGGAUUCAGUUUCAUUCUUCUACAUGUGGGCUAUCUACUUUUCCCAGCACCAUUUAUUAAGUAGGAUGUUGUUUCCCCAGUUUAUAUUUUUGUGUGCUUAGUUAACGAUCAGUUGGUUGUAAAUAGUUGGCUGUAUUUCUGGGUUCUCUAUUCUGUUCCAUUGGUCUAUGUGUCUACUUUUAUACCAGUACCACGGGUACACUAAAAUCUCAGACUUCACCACUAUACAAUUCAUCCAUGUAACCAAAAACCACUUUUACCCCAAAAGUUACUGAAAUAAGUAUUUUUAAAGAUUUUAAAAAAUAGAGAGGAAAGAGGAGGCUAUGAAAUUCCAUAAUGGAGUUACAGAUGCUUGACAUAAUUUAGUGGAUAUUGGAUUUAGAAGCUUACAUGAAUGAGGCAAACCUGAGAUCUGUGAUAUUUGUAAAUGAAGAUAGGAGUGAACUUACUGCCCUUAGGAGUGGAGGGAGGGAAGGAAGGGAGAAAAUGAGAGAUGCCAUAAAAUCUAUUACUUCAAUGGAUUUGAAGUAAUCCUUUGAAGCAGGCAGUGAGACUUACUUCAUAAAUCCAUACCUUUUUAAUGUGGAUUGGAGAGAAGUUGUUGCGCUGUAAUACCUCUGUUGCUACUGUGAGAGUCAUUGCCAGCCACUAUUCUCAUGUCAAGCUGCCCUUGAGGAGGUUUCUCUUGACCCAAUUUAGAAACAACCCAAAACAAGGUUUGUAACUUAGAGGAAUUCUUUGAUUCUGUGACAAGGGGUCUGUGACCCUCUUAAAGGGAUCAAGUACACAGGAGAUAGUACAAGUAGUACUAAAUAGCCAGCUUAAAAAAUUGGAUAGGUGAGAUGAGACAGGAACAGUGGACAGAAUGGCUCUAGGCAUCCCCAAACACCACAUCUGGGAUAAGGAAAUAGUACAAUGGAAAGUCUAUCCUUGGACCUACUAUUUGUCAUUCCCCAUGGCAUGAUGGAAUAUCUAAAAUAAAAAGAGUUGCUUUGGAGAAGGAUUGCAAAAUAUUAUUUCAUAGAAGAGAUUUAGAAGAGGGGAAACUCCCAAUUACAUAAGGUGGGCAUUAUAGCUUCUCAAAACAUUGGUUCCCUAUAUGGGUCAUGAAGAUUGAUCCCAGUAUCAGCCUAUGGCUUACUAGGCCAGUUUAACUGAAAGAUUUAAUGAGCUUGGAAGGAUGCUGCCACCUGCACUCUCACUUUGGCGGGUGUUUAUCACCAGUGAGUGCGGUCCCUAAAGGAGCAAAAGGACAAUAAGCACCCAGUGGACAACAGUGUGGCAUUUUGAGUGAAGAUAGCAACUGAAAAGGUCAUCGGCUUGGCUAGAUUGGGCUGGGCUUGUUUUUUAAAAAUAAAAAAAAAGUUUUCCUUCAUGAUAAAAGUAACAGGUGAUCAUUGUUAAAAAAUAAAGUAUGAAUUAAAAAGUAAAUAAUAUGUAUAAUUUUAUAAGCCAGAAAACUAAUUUGUAAUAUUCAGGUGUAUGUCCUUUCAUUCUUUUUAAAAAUUAUGUAUAUAACACAGUUUUAUAACAAAAUUGACAUCAUAUUGUAUAUAUCAUUUUAUUAUCUAAUUUUUUCAUUUGAAAAUUCACAAGCAUAUUUCCAUGUUAUUGUUCUUUGAAAAAUACAAUAUUAAGUGCUCCAUAAUAUCUUAUGGAUUUAACAAAGUUUAUUUAGAUGAUGUCAUGUUAUUGGACAUUUUGAUUAUUACCAAGUUUGCGUAUAAAAUUUAAAUGUAAUGAACAUCAUUGUACAUUAACCUUUAUGCACAUCUGGAAUUAUUUCUUUAGAAUAAGGUUCCAGAAUUAAAAUUAUUUAGUUUGGAUGAUGAGAGCAUUUAUUAGAGCAUCUGACAGGUGAUGCUGAAUUUUCCUCAAUACAGUUGUGCAAAUUGCAUUCCCACCAGUAGUGUAUAAAUGUGAAUAUCCCUCCAUAUAUUCAUCAAAACAUGGCCUUUCUAAUUUUGUAAAUCUCUGCUAAUUUAAUAGGUAAAAAUAUACCUUUGUUGCUUUAAAAUUUUUAUUUCUAAUUUACACACAGUAAAAUUCACUCUUUUUAGUAUAUGGUUCUAUGGGUUUUGACAAAUGCACAGUCAUGUAUCUUCUACACUAGUACCAUACAGAGAAGUUCUGUCACUUUAAUAAUUUCUCUUGGUGGCUCUUUUUGUAUUCAACCCCUUACCCCAUACUCAAUCUCUGGAAACCAUCAAUUUAUUCUUCAUCCCUAUGGUUUUGCCUUUUCCAGAAGGUCAUAUAAGUGGAAUCAAGCAAUAUGUAGCCCUUUUGGUCUGGCUUCUUUCACUUAGUAAAACGCAGUCAAGAUUCUCCCAUGUUUUGUGGAUAAUUAUUUCAUUCCUUUUUAUCACUGAGUAGUACUUCAUUGUGUGGAUGUACCACAGUUUUAUUAUCCAUUCACUAACUGAUGAACUUGUAAGAUGUUUCUAGUUUUGGUGAAUAUGAACAAAUUUGCUAUAAACUUUCAGGUAUAAGUUUUGUGUGAUAAAUGCUCAUUUUUAUAGGGUAAAUGCUUUGGAGUGGGAAUGAGUGCCAGACUGUUUUCUAAAGUUUCCCUAGCAUUUUGCAUUCCAAUUACAAAUAUGUGAGAGUUCCAGUAGCUUUGUAUCUUUACCAGUAUUUAGUAAUUUUGUAUUAUACAUAUAUAUGUAUGUAAAUAUAUAUAUAUAUUCAUUUAAAUUUUAAUCAUUGUUAGAAUUUGUAAUUCCCCAAUGAUAUAUGGUAUUAUCUUUUAUUUGUUUAUAAUUGACACAUAAUUAUUUAUGGGAUACAUUGUGAUGUUUCAGUACAUGUGUACAUUGUAUAAUGAUCAAAUCAGGAUAUCACCUCAAACCUUAUGAUGAUCUUACAGUUAAAGAUGAUAUAUUCUUGCAAAGUGUCUGUUCAGAUCUUUUGCUCCCCUUUUUAUUGGAUUAUUCCUUUUCUUACUGUUUUUAUAUGUUUUUUAAUAUAUUGAUACAAAUCCUUUGUCAGAUACAUUAUUUGGAAAUAGAUUUUCCUAGUCUGUGACUUGUCUUUUCAUUCUUUGAACACUGACUUUUUUAGAGCAAAAAUUUUAAUUUUGAUACAAUUCACUUUAUCAAUUUUUUUACUUUUGAUGUGCAAUGUAAGAACACUUGUCUAACCCAAUGUCAUGAAGAUUAUAUAUUAUUUUCAUCCAGGAAUUUUAUAGUUUUAAGUUUUACAUUUAUAUCUAUGAUACUUUUUGAAUAAAGGUUUGUAUAAAGUUUAGCUAUGGGUCAAGGUUCAGUUUUUAAAAUAUGGCUAUCUAAUUGUUCUAGUACCAUUUGUUGAAAAGAUUGUUUCUUUUUUAUUGCAUUGCUUUUGCACUUCUGUCAAAAAAUCAAUUGAUUAUAUUUGUUUGGGUCUAAUUCUGGGCUGCCUAUUCUGUUCCAUUGUUAUCCAUUCACAAAUACCACACUUUCCUAAUCAUAGGAAGUCUUAAAAUUAGAUAGUGUGUACAACUUCGUCCGUCUCAAAAAUCGUGUUGAUUACUACUUUGCUUUUCCAGAAAUUUUAGAAUUGUUGCUUUCUAUAAAAAAUUCUGCUAGUAUAUCUGUUGAGUUAGAACUAUAGAUGAAUUUGAAGAAAAUUUACAUCCUCACAAUAUUUUGUCUUUAGGCCACAAACAUGAUAUAGCUGUAUAUUUAUUUUGGUCUUGCUUUUUUUUCCACUUUCAGCAUACAGAUCCUGGACAUAUUUUAUAUUUAUACCAAAUAUUUUAUAUAUUUUCUACUGUUGUCAAUGGUAGUGGUUUUUAAAUUUUCAAACAUUCAUUACUAGUAUAUAGAAAUAAAAUCACUUUUUAAAAAUGUAAUGGCGUUUAUUGUUUUUCAAUUUAAUAAACCACAUUUAGACAACACAAUGAUUAAAAAUGUUGACAAUUGGGACGAUGUAAAUGUAAAGGUAAAGGUAACAAUUUUUACCUUGAUAAUAUAAAGGUAAAAAUGUAGUAGACAGUAUAUGGGGACAGAAGAGGAAGUGUGUAGGAAGGGCAGAGUGGGAAUAUUAAUAGCAUCAUCUUUUAUAGAGAGAACACACUGAUGUGAUUGAACACCAAAUAGGGGUAUAUGCAUCUGAAAGUCACUUUUGGUAUGUUGACCUUGUAUCCUGCAACUUUGCUAAACUCAUUUAUUAUAUGAACUUUUAUGUAUAUUUCUUGGCAUUUUCUACAUACAGUGGUGUCUGUAUAGUUUACUAUUUACAUGUGAAUAUGGAUAGUUUAAUUUCUUCCUUUCCAAUUUGCUUGCCUUUUAUGUCUUCUUGAAAUACUGCGUUGGCUAAGACUUGCAGUAAGAAGUUAAAAGGGAAUGUUUGGAGCACACGUAUUUGCCAAGUCUCUGAUCUUAGUGUGGCUGGGGGGAAGCAUUUAGUAUUUCAUUAAGUAUGAUGUUAGCUAUAGGUUUUUUGUAGAUAUUCUUUAUCAGUUUAAGAAAAUUUCCUACGAUUACUAGAUUGUUCAGAAUUGUUUUAAGAUCAUGAGUUGAUAUUUCAAUUUUGUUAAAUACUUUUUCUGUAUCCAUUAAGAUAAUCAUGUGUUUUUCUUAGUCAGUCAUUGUAGCCCAUUGUAUUGCUUGAUUUUCUUUAUUAAGGUAUAUUCAUUCCCAUAGAAAAUUCAUGGCUUUUUUUGUUGUUGUUUGUUUGUUUUUUGGGGGAGGGGUGGUGGGGGGAAGUAGUACCACUUUAUUCAGUGUUGUAGGAAAUUUCAGGUUACUUCUUAAAAACAAAACCUAGGCAGCCUGGCCAACAUGGUGAAACCCCAUCUUCACAAAAAAUUAUGACAAUUUGCCAGGUGUGGUGGUGCAUGCCUGUAAUCCCAGCUACUUGGGAGGCUGAGGCAGGAGGAUCCCUUGAACUCGGUGGCAGAGGUACCAGUGAGCCGAGAUCGUACCACUGCACUCUCGUCUGAGCGAUAGAGUGAGACUCUGCCUCAAAAACAACAAUAACAAAAAGAAAAACCUGUGAGGUUGUAGGUUCUUUCCCCUUUUUCCUUUCCUUUUUUUUUCCCCCUUUUUCCUUUUUCCUUUCCUUUUUCUCUCACUCUGUCACCCAACCUGGAUGGGAGUGGAGUAUAGUGGUGUGAUCAUGGCCCACUGCAGCCUUAACUUCCUUGGCUCAAGUGAUCCUCCUGCCUCAGCCUCCUGAGUAGUUGGGACAACAGGCAUGCACUACCAUGCCUGGCUAAUUUUUUACUUUUUGUAGAGACAGGGUUUUGCCAUGUUGCCCAAGCUGGUCUCAAACUCCUGGGCUCAAGAGAUCCACCCACCUAGGCCUCCCAAAGUGCUGCGUCUACAGGCGCAAGCCACUGCACUGAGCCCAGGUUACUUCUUAAAACGUGGCCAGGUGCGGCAGCUCACACCCAUAAUCCCAGCACUUUGGGAGGCUGAGGCAGAAGGAUUGCUUGAGUUUGGGAGUUCAAGACCAGCCUGGCUAACAUAGCAAGACUCCAGCUAUUGGGAUGGCUGAGGUGAGUAGAUUGUUUGAGCCUGGGAGGUUGAGGCUGUAGUGAGCCAUGAUUGCACCACUGCACUCCAGCCUGGGUGCAGAGGGAGACCCUGUCUCCAAAAAGAAAAAAUGAAAAAAAAACACAUACAAAUAAAAACAAACAAAAGAAAUAAAAAAUUCCCAGAGUAACAAAGCAGGAAAUAAUAAUUCUAUAAUCCAAAAAACACUGGGUGAUCCUUCAGUUGGAGAGAGGAGGAGUCAGUUAAGUAGCUCACACAGUAGAUAUGGACAAACCAGAGUUGAGGUUGGUUGAUGUGGCUUCUAGGAGUUAAGUUCUCCACCUAAGGCAAUUAAGGGAUAAUUAAUUGUUCUUGAGGGAUAAUUAGUCAUCUUGAAAAAAGGAAAAAGUUUGAUUGGGAGAAGGCACCUAGGGAGGGAGGAUGGUGCAUCACUUAAUAUUAAAUUGCCUCCCUACACUAUGUGGCUGAGUGUCAUGGACCUUCCUCCCUCUCUGCGCCUUUGAACUCCCACUGUUAGCAAAGCUGGAAAGCACACACUUGUAUCUCAUUCUUACAGGCAUGUGUACUACCCCUCAGGGUCCAUAGCUGUUCAGUAUGGCAAAGGGCAGACUUGCUUUCUCUUCCACUUUGCUGCCUUGAUGAGGUUAACAUACUGGAAUGAAAGAGGAGGGCAGGACAUCUGCCAAAGUGCAAGGAAUAAGAGUUAUUGAAACAAUUGGGAAAAGGAUUGACACUUCAGGAAGCUGACCUCGAAGUUGACCUCGAACUGUUCACUGGUAUUUAAUCUGAUGCUUCCCUCAAGUCCUGAAUACUCUUUCUGGAAGCAGAGAGGUGAGGCCAAGAGUUGUUCUGGCUCCUCCAGGCCACCCCUCCCCCCCCCCAGGGCCCAUCAGGUAAGUGCCUGCAGAAGCUAGAGGCAAGUCCCAGCUCUCUUGUAUAGCUGAUGUAUGCCCUGAGACAUACUCCAUUUGUAGGAUUCUCCUGUGCUCCAAUUCACCAAAUUCUGCUGAUGGCUCAGAGCAGGGUAAAGCUUCUCCUAGAUAAUCCCUCCCCCAAAAUUGAGUCCUCGGGGACAGUUAUUUAUUGAAUAACCUCCAGGUUAUCUACUUUGGGAAAUGCAGAAAUGCUAUAAACUGAAUUUUUUUCCAGCAGUGGCAGAAGCCAGACACCUUGAAGUCAAUUGUCCUUCAUUCUCCAGAGUUCCCAAGUGGCAUUUCAGAGCACAGGAAUUCACUCUUCCACCCAGAUAUUCCUCUCACACUGAGUCACGCACCCCAGUUUCUAGCAGCAGAUAUCUUGAAGCCAACCACCCUAAUGAAAAAUGCGGGUUUCCACACCAGUUUUCCACACCAGCUCUCCAACCAUUAAGAGUACACAUGCCCCCAUGGCACACUUGGGUUAUCACAAUAAAAAUACGUUUAUAUAAAGUAAAAAACAUAAUGUGGAGCAAAUAUAUACAUAUACAUGUACAUUGUUAGAGUUCAAGUGAAUAUACAGUUUUUAAGUGUGUAAAUAAAUUUCAUAGCACUACAAAAAUACAAGUCAUCUGAGAGACGUUUACAGUGGUCCCCAAAACUAUAGGAGAGAAUAAAAUAAAAUAGCUAUAGGUAAUUAAAAGCUAAUUAGAUAAAUCAAGUCACAGUUUCAUCCUUCAGAUUAAGGUGCUCCAAUAUAAUCCAUACCACAGCAAACAAAAUCCUGAAGAAUUCUGCUGCCAAUCAUCUUGCCUCUUAACCUCAAUAUAACAAGAACAUACAUAAAAGAGAUUACCGAUUUAGUAAAUGCUAUCAUCUCAUACCCCAUUCACACCACUGGCCUGUGAUAUUCUUCCCCUGGGAGAGAUGUCAAGAUUUAAUGAGAUUCUAUCAUAACCUGUAGAAAAAAUGAGCAACAUGGAAACAUUCCAAUUCCAGUCUUAGGUGAGUUCCAAUGAAAUUACCUGAAGAACUGAACUAGUGCUUUUAGUUAAGGGGAAAAGUGCCCUAGCUUUUAAAAAAUAUGUCUAUAAAUCUAGUUUUAAAAACAUAGCAAUUGGCUGCAUGUGGUGGCUCAUGCCUAUAAUCUCAGCAUUUUGAGAGGCCGAGGUGAGAGGACUGCUUAAACCCAGGAGUUCAAGACCAGCCUGAACAAAAUAGGGAGACCCCCAUCUCUACAAAAAUAAUUUUAAAAAGCUGGGCAUGGUGGCAUAUACCUGUGGUUCCAGGUACCUGGAGGGCUGACGUAGGAGGAUUGCCUGAGCCCAGCAGGCCAAAGCUACAGUGAGCUGUGAUUGUGCCACUGCACUCCAGCCUGGGCGAGGAGAGCAAGACUCUGUCUCAAAAAUAAAUACAUAAAAUACAGCGUCCAAAAGUGUGUCAUCUUCUUUCUCUUCACAAUUUUAUAAUAAGGGGGUAAAAUGCCUGUGAGUCUAUUCAUUAUGGAAAAUAAAAAAGAAACAACCAUUUAAGGCUGAGGCAUUUUGGUUUUCUGCUGGCUUUUAGAUUAUUAACUGCAUUAAGCCCCUCACUACAACUUCACCAGUAUCCUAGAAACAAUUUGGGUUUCCUUUUAGGCAGGGACAGGAAGUAUUCAAAGGACAGACAUAUGGACAGAGUUAGGCCCUUCAGGGUUGAAGUCUGUGGUUUCUUGUGUCUCAAGACUCAAUGUCUUGAGAAGUUGGUGGACCCUGUCCUCCAUCCAAGAAGUGCUGCCAAGGAAACCAGGGGACCUAGCAAAGAGUCAGGAGAAAAUGGCCAAAGGAAUUCUGACAUUCCAUACCUGAAUGAACUGUUUUCGUGAGUGCUUUGAUCACCCUAUCCCCUAUCAAGGCGCUGAACAGGUGGCCCGCAGGAAAUCUGCUGUCGCAAGAGGAGGGCUUUGACUUACUUCCCCUAAUUGUUGAGUAAAAAGUGAUUCUCUUAAUUUCUGUAUUCUGUUUUUCAUAUCACCAGUAGAAGGGUCCUGUGGAUCUAAAUAGAGCACAUUUUAAGGCUACAGAGUAGUAGAAAUUGAUGUUUAGACAAGGCAGCUUGUUCAAAAUCUGAAAGGCACACCCAGAAGCUUUCUCUAAACAUUUUGGCUCCCAUUAAAAAAAAAAAAAAAACAAAAAACAAAAACAAAAACAAAAAACAAGACCCAAGUCUGAGAAGUUGAGUACAUUUACAUGGUAUCAAAAAUUUAGCAUCUGCAGCCAAAAGCCACACCUGUGCUACUCAAAAGCUGAGAAAGUACAUGUAUGUAACACAGCAACUAUUGCAUGGUCCUUUUCUUAUUUAAAGCUUUCUCAGGUAAGUUUUAAUAGCUGGAGGAUACAUAUUGAAAAAAAUCUCAAUAUGAAAGAAAGAAAACUUCAGUGUUGAAAUACAUUAAUACCUCCUGUGACAUCUGAAUCUCUGGCUCAGGAUCAGAACUUAGGAUCACGUCUCUGGUGGCCAUAAAAUAUUUACAAUCUAGUUAAAGGCACAGUGGCAUUUAAAAAUAAAGUCUUGGGGACCCAUGGUAAAAGAUUCACUGUAAUUAUUAACCUGGCUUCAAUUGGUAGAAUUGACUCUUGCCAGAUAACAUGCGAGGGAGAUGGUGAUUCGGAACCUGCUAGCUGGUUAUGAGGCAUAGCGAGUCCUUUACCUCAAGAACAGGUGGAAACAAACUCACGGAAACAUGCCCGUGUUUAAUUCUGGUGAUUUACAUCUUUCCCGCAUUUUUUGCUAACCUGAGCCAGAAUGUGGAGCGUGGGGGUUUCUUCCAUGACUGAUUGGCAGGUUGUCAGUAUAGUCUUCCAGCUCAGGAUCCUGGAAAUCCCUCUUAUUAUUAUUAUUAUUGUUUUCUUCUGUUUGAGGAGCAGCUGGAUAAGCUCAUUCUGGGUUAGCUGUGCAUAGGCAAAAGCAGAAUCUGAGGGGUUUUCUUGAUCGUGGUCUUGUUGAUCAAGUUCUCACUGAUGAUGGUGGCAGUUCCCAAGCUAGAGAUAGCAAUCUUGGUGGCCAUUGUGUUCAUUGGCUUCACAGGAUGAAGUCAAGGUUUGACAGCUCUGGUUUUUGGAGCCAUCACAGAGAGAAUUGGUGAUUCUGUUCAGACUUGGAUUCUGGGUCAGUUUUUGGUUCUGUGAUCUGCACAUCUUCAAAGGGGUUCAGGGAGUUACCCCUUCUGGAGACAAUAGCUGCAAUAUCUUUCUCCAAUCUUCUCGUAAGGUCUUUAACAGGCCCUGAAGCAUGCUACCCGGCUUGACCUCCAUAAGCAUGCCUUCCUUCUUCUCCAGGAUGGUAAGAGGGUUUUCACCUUCACUGUUCUUAGCCAUGUCCUUCUUCCCCGUCACCCGAGAAAGCAAAGAAGACUCUCGUUAUUCUGCUUCUUGCUCUCUUUGGUUUCUUUUGCAGCUUCCAAGUUUGCUGGAGCCAUGUUUUCUCUAAUGUCCCCACAGAACAGUGGUUGGUAGGAUGGCGGAGACAUGGACUUCAGAGAGUUCUUGGUAGAAGACUCAAAGAGCCACCUGUCAUGAGACAUCCCACUUCCUUCCCCAGGUUACUUCCAAGACUGAGCAGCCAGGUUUUUGGUAGAUGAGAACAAAUGUUUCUUCCUGAAGCCCUGGGGCUUCAGGUAGGAAGAAGGACUGCUAUACUUGUUCUCACCCUUGGCUUCUGGCUGCUCCAGUUAAACAUGGUUCCCAUUGAUACAGACAUUAGAGUGGGAAAGGACUUCGUUCAUAGACCGAAGACCCUCAAAGGAAAGUCCUUCCAUUUUGGGAAGGGUGACAUUGAUUUCGUUUAGCUGCUUAAGAUAUGUACUUGCUGUUGUCUUGUGAGACAUGACAUCUGAAGCUGAAGAGGAGUCCCUCUCAUUGUUGUCAUUGUCCCACCGGGACUGAAAGUCUCCCAGUUGAGGCAGCAUUUUAGCUUUGAUGUCUACAGGGCAAUCAUGGAUCAGGAAAUUUCUGCAAAUUAGACUUGGAAAACAAGGUCUUGAUCCUUCUUGUCUUUGGACGAAGACUAAUCAUCACUUUUGACUGAAGGUGUAGUGCUGGAGACUAUGUUGGAGGCAGCACCUGAUGCACUAUCCAUAUUCUUCCCCUUGAUCUUGUCUUAAAGUUUUCCAAAUGGAUUCCGAGGCUUGUCUUUGAUGAAAAGGUCAAACAUACUGGCAGUCAUGUUGUUUCUCAUAAGCUGGAUGUCAACCUCAAUUUCUCCUCUUUAUCCUUCUCUCCUGGUUUGGAUUUCAAGGUAUACCACCGCAUCUUCCUGCUCCCCUAGUCUGGGUGCAGGUCCUGCAGGUACACCUCGGCGAAGCCCAAGUACAGUAGCAGCAGCACCUCAAAGGUGGCCUCCUCCUCUGACACUGAGGUGGCAUACUUCUCCUUACCCACCUGAAUCACCGAGUACAUGUUGCUUGUACCGUCAGGCUCUUGGUUCUUGGCCCCUGGCCCUAUGCCUGCAACACUGUCACCUGCACGUGGAUUGGGAACCACAUAGCCCCCGGACCUGCUAAGGCCAUUAAGGACAGGAUGGUGAUGCCUCGGCUGACUGACGUGAGAAGAUUGUCAUGACCCAUGGCCUCUACUGCUGUCCUACCAACAGAAACUUCAUAAUGUUGUGCAGGCGUUACCACUACCUAGUUCCAGAACAUUGCCAUCACCCCCAAAAUAAAUCUUGCAUUCAUUAAGCAGUCACCCCUAUUUUCCCCCAUCCCUGUCAACCACUGAUUUAUGUUCUGUCUCUAUGGAUUCCCCUGUUCCGGAUAAUUCACGUAAAUGGAAUAACACAAUAGAUGCCUUUUAUCAUGGGUUUCUUUCACUUAGGAUGUUUUGUAGGGUAAUCCAUAUAGCAUGUAUCAGGACUUCAUUUUUUUUUUUUUUUUUUUUGAGAUGGAGUUUCAUUCUUCUUGCCCAGGCUGGAGUGCAGUGGUGCAGUCUCAGCUCACUUCAACCUCUGCCUUCUAGGUUCAAGCGAUUCUCCUGUCUUGGCUUCCCAAGUAGCCAGGAUUACAGGCGCCUGGCACCAUGCCCAGCUACUUUUUUUGUAUUUUUAGUAGAGACAGGGUUUCACCAUGUUGGCCAGGCUGGUCUCAAACUCCUGACCUCAGGUGAUCCGCCUGCCUCAGCCUCCCAACGUGCUGGGAUUACAGGCGUGAGCCACCAUGGUCAGCCUUCAUUCAUUUUCAUGGAGAAAAAUAUUUCAUUGUAUGAGUAUACCACAUUUUGUUUAUCCAUUUAUCCAUUGAUUGGUUGUUUCUACUUUUUUUUAGCUAUUAUGAAUAAUAUUGCUGUGAACAUUUGUGUACAAGGUUUUAGUGGACACAAGUUUUUAUUUUUCUUGGGUAUAUAUCUAGGAGUGGAAUUGCUGGGUCAUAUUGUAAUUCUGUUCAACUUUUUGAAGAACUUCCCAACUGUUCUCCAUGGUGGCUGUGCCAUUGUAUAUUCCUACCAGCAGUGUAUGAAGUUACAAAUUUCUCCACAUCCUGAGAACCCCUUUAUUAUUUUCUGUUUUUCUUUUUGAUUAUAGCCAUCCUAGUAGGUGUAAAGUGGUAUCUCAUUGUGAUUUUAUUUUGCAUUUCCCUAAAUGAUUAAUGAUAUUGAGCAUCUUUUCAUGUGCUUCUUGGCCACUAGUAUAUCUUCUUUGAAGAAAUGUCUAUUCAAGUCUUUGGCAGUUUCUAAAUGAGUUAUUGUCUUUUUGUUGUUAGGUUGUAAGAGUUAUAAUCUGGAUAACAGAUCCUUAUUAGAUAUGUAAUUUGCACAUAUUUUCUCCCAUUUUGUGGGUUGUCUUUUGUCUUUUUUAUUUUUUAUUGCUUGUGUUUUGGUAUCAUUAUUGAUAAUUCAUUGUUAAAUUAAAGGUCAUGAAGAGUUACUCUUACUUUUUCUUCUAUAAUUUUUAGUUUUAGCUCUUGUAUUCAUGUCUGUAAUCAAUUGAAGUUAAUUUUUAAUAUAGUAUGUGUUAGGAGUCCAGCUUCAUUGUUUUGCAUGUAUCUAUGCAAUUGACCCAAAGUGAUUUGUUGAAAAAUAUUAUUUUCUGAUGGUAUGGUCCUGACACCCUUGUAGAAAUUCAAUUGAAGAUAUAUGUAUGAGUUUACUUCUGCAGUCUCAAUUCUAUUCUAUUGGUCUAAAUGUUUAUCUUUAUGCCAGUACCAGCCUGUUUUGGUUAUUUUAGUUUUGUAAUAAAAUAGACAAACAUUUGGCCGAUUAAUCAAGACAAAAAGAAAAGUAUAUAGAAAUAAUAUUAUGAAAGAAAAGGGGGAGCAUAUUGAAAAACACCAUAAAGAUUAAAAAGAUUAAGGGACAGUGUUAACAAUUUAUGCCAAUAGGGUUUGAAAGUUUAGAGAAAAUAGACAAAUUCCUAGCAAAAUAUAAAUUAUCAAAACCUACUCAAGAAAAAAUAGAAAUCUUAUAUAGUCACAAGGUAUUAAAUAUUCAAUUCUUCCUAGAGACCCAAAUAUAUGCUUUCUACCCGUAACUCACUGUAAAUAAAAAGAAAGGGAUAAUAUAUUGUGCAAACUCUAGUCAAAAAAAAGUUGGAAUGACAAUAUUAAUAUAAACAAAAGUGGACUUCAAAAGAAGCAAUAUUAUCAGAGAGAAAGAGGGCACUGCUUGGUGAAUUGCCCCCUGAUAAAGACAUAACAAUACCGGAAGUAAAAAUUGACAUAACUGCAAGGGGAAAUUGACAAAUCCACAAUUAUAUUUGGGAUUUAAAUGCUUUACUCUUAAUAAUUAAUAAAAGUUAGCUAAAAAAUUAAUUUUAGCUAAAUAAAUUAGCUAAAAAGUUAACAAGGAUAGAUCUGAACAACACUAGGAUAAACUUGUCCUAAUGGACAUUUAUAGACCACUAUAACCAAAAGUGGUAGAAUUCACAAUUUUUGCAAGUACACAUGGAAUAUUCACCAAAAUAAACCAUAUCCUGAUUUAUAAAAUAAACUAACAAACUGGCUUCUCUCACUUAGCAAUAUGAAUUUAAAUUUCCCCCAUAUCUCUUCAUGGCUUUAUACCUCAUUUCCUUUUAUUGCUGAAUAAUGUUUCAUUUUAUGGAUGGGCCAUAAAAUGUUUAUCUAUGCACCUAUAGAGGGACAUCUUGGUUGCUUCCAAGUUUUGGCCAAUAUUAAUAAAGCUGUUAUAAACAUUCAUUUGCAGGUUUUUGUGUUAUCAUGAAUUUCCACUCAUUUGGUUAAAUACCUAGGAAUAUAAUUGCUAGAUAGUAUAGCAAUUCUGUUUAGUUUUGUAGGAAACUGCAAACUGUCUUCCAAAGUGGCUGUAUCAUUUUGCAUUUCCACUAACAGUGACUGGGAGUUCCUUAUGCUAAACAUCCUCUACAGUAUUUGGUGUGGUCAGUGUUAUAGAUUUUGGCUAUUCUUUCAGGUGCAUAGUGGCAUCUUAUUGUUGUUUUAAUUUGCAAUUCCCUGAUGAUGUAUGAGGGGACUUCAAAAAUUUAUGGAAAAAUUGAACUAAAAGGUAAAAGUAAAAAAUAUAAACUUCUUAACAUAAGCUCCAUCGAGUUCAAGAUACUUUGUAAGCAAUGAUACCAGCCAUUUGGUUCAUCCCUAAGGAACUGAGGGUUCUGAGAAUUUAAUCAGGUCAAUGAAGUCUUUUUUACGUUAUGAACUGAAGAAAAAUGUGUGCAAUUUAAAGGUUUGUUAAGACUUUGAAACAAAAAGAAGUCAGAAGGAGCCAAAUCAGGACUGUAAGGUGGAUGAAUGCCUAAUGAUUUCCCAUCAAAGCUCUCACAAAAUUGCCCUUGUUUGAUGAGAGGAAUAAGCAGAAGCAUUGUGAUGGGGAAGGACUCUCUAAUGAAGCUUUCCCAGGUGUUUUUCUGCUAAAGCUUUGGCUUUCUCAAAACACUUUCAUAAUAAGCAGAUGUUGUUGUUCUUUGGCCCUCCAGAAAACCAACUAGAAAAAUUCCUUUAACAUUCCAAAAGACUAUUGCCAUGAGCUUUGUUCUUGACCAGUCCAGUUUUGCUUUGACUAGACCGCUUCCACUUCUUGGUAGCCAUUGCUUUGAUUGUGCUUUAUCUUUAGGAUCAUACUGGUAAAGCCAUGUUUUGUCUCCUGUUAAAAUUCUUCAAGAAAUUGCUACAGGAUCUUGAUCCUACUUGUUAAAAUUUCCAUUGAAAGCUCAGCUCUUGUCUGCAGCUGAUCUGGGCACAACAGUUUUGGUACCCAUUGAGUGGAAAGUUUGCUCAACUUUAAUUUUUCAGUCAGAAUAGUGUAAGCUAAGCCAAUUUAGAUAUCUAUGGUGUUGACUAUUGUUUGUGCUGUUAAUUCUUGUUCUUCUUCAAUUAAGGCAUGGACAUAAUUUUUUUCAAUUUUUUUUUCAAACGAUGUGGAAGGCUUGCUGCUAUGUGCUUCAUCUUCAGCAUCAUCUCAUCCCUUCUUAAAAUGAGUUAUCUGUUUGCAAACUGCUGAUUUCUUUUGGAGAAUCAUCCCCAUAAACUUCUCAUAAAGCAUCAAUGAUUUUACCAUUCUUCCACCCAAGCUUCACACUAAAUUUGAUGUUUGGUUUUGCUUCAAUUUUAGUAGAAUUUAUGUUGCUCUGACAGGUGCUCUUUUCAAACUUACGUCUUACCUUUUUAGUGCCUCAAACUACAUCCUGUUCAGGCAUGUUAUAACAAGUUAGUAUGAGCUUAUUUUGGUAUAAAAAAUUUGGACUCCAUAAUUUUUUCAUAAUAUGCAUUUUUCAUUACCUUUUGGAAGACAACUCAUAUCACCUUGAGCUUCUUUUCAUAUGCCUAUUUUCCAUAUGUAUAUCUUCUUUGGUGAGGUGUCCUUUUCAGAUGUUUGUACAUUUAAAAAUCAGUUAUUACCCACUCCCACCACUUCUAUUCAACAUAGUACUGGAAGUACUAUCAAGAGAGAGCAAUUAGACAAGAAAAAGAAAUUAAAGAUAUCUAAAUUGGAAAGGAAGAAGUAAAAUGAUCUCUCUUUGCACAUCAUAUGAUCCUAUGUGUAGAAAACUCCAAAGACUCCACCAAAAAAACCUAUUAGAUCUAAUAAAUGAAUUCAGUAAAGUUGCAGGAUAUAAAAUUAAUAUACAAAAAUCCAUGGCCAUUUUAUUCACAAAUAACAACCUAGCUGAGAAAUCAAGAAAACAAUCCCAUUUAUGAUAACAUAAAACACUUAAGAAUACAUUUGACCAAGAAGAUGAAAGUGCAUCAGUAUAGCCUGCACACUGAAAACCACAAAACAUUGAUGAAAUACAUUGAAGAGGACACAAAUAAAUAAAACGAUAUUCCAUGCUCAUAGAUUGGAAGAAUUAAUGUUGUUAAAGUGUCCAUACUACCCAAAGCAAUAUAUAGAUUCAAUGCAAUCCCUAUCAAAAUCUCAUCAGCAUUCUUCACAGAAAUAGAAAAAAAUCAUACAAUUUCUGUGGAUCCACAAAAGAUCCCAAAUAACCAAAGCAAUUCUGAGAAAAAAAAAUCCUGGAGGCAUCAUACUUCCCAAUUUAAAUUUAUAUUACAAAACGAGAGUAAUCAAAACAAUACAGUAUUGGCAUAAGAGAUACACAGGACAGUGAAAUAGCCAGAAAUAAAUCCAAACAUGUAUGGUUAAUGAAUUUUUGACAAGAGCACCAAAAAGACAAAAUGAGAAAAGGGUAGUCUCUUCAAUAAAUAGGUGCUGGAAUUUCCACAUGCAAAAGAAUGAAAUUAGACUCUUACAUUACACCAUACACAAAAAUCAAUCCAAAAUGGAUAAAAGAUCUGAAUGUAAGACCUGAAGCCAUAAAUCUAGAAGAAAACAUAAGGGAAAAGCUCCUUGACACUGGCUUUGGCAAUGUUUCCUUGGAUAUCACACCAAAACCUCAGGCUACAAAAGCAACAAUAAAUAAAUGAAAUUAUAUCAAUCUAAAAAACUUCUACACAGAACGAAAACAAUCAACAAAAUGAAAAGGCAAUGUACAGAUAAGGAGAAAAUAUUUGCAAACCAUAUAUCAGGCAAGGUUUUAAUAUUCAGGAUUUAGGAAGAACUCAUACAACUCAAUAGCAAGACAACAUAUAACCUGAUUAAAAAAAAGUGGGGAAAGGACUUGAAUAGACAUUUCUUCAAAGAUGACAGAAAAUGACCAACAGGUAUAUGAAAUGGUGCUCAAUAUCACCAGUCAUCAGGAAAAUGCAAAUCAAAACUACUUUGAGAUACCACCUCAUACAUGUUAGGAUAGCUAUUAUCAAAAAGACAAGAGCUAACAAGUGUUGGUGAGGGUGUGGAGAAGAGGGAGCACUUGUACACUGUUAGUGGGAAUGUAUUAUAUAUUGGUGCAGCCAUUAUGGAAGACAGUAUGGAGGUUCCUAAGUAAAUUAAAAAUAGAACUACCAUAUGACCCAGCAAUCCCUCUUCUGGGUAUAUCCCCAAAGGGAAUGAGAUUAUCUCUGCACUCCCAAGUUUAUUGCAGCACAAUUCACAAUAGUCAAGAUACAGACACAACCUAGGUGUUCAUCAAUGGGCAAAUGGAUAAAGAAACUGUGAUAUAGAGAGAUCAAUAGAUAGAUAAUUAGAAUAUUAUUUAGCCUUUAAAAAGAAGGCAGUCCUGUCAUUUGCCAAAACAUGGAUAGACCUAGAAGACAUUAUGCUAAAUGAAAUAAGCCAGACACAGAAAGAAAAAUAUUGCGUGAUCUCACUUAUAUGUGGAAUCAAGAAAAAAAAGGUUAAAUAUAUAGAGAUAGAGAAUAAAACAGUAAUUACUAAGGUCAGGAUAAGGUGGAGGAAAUGAGAUGUAGGUCAAAGGAUGCAAAGUAGUAAAUAUGCAGGAUGAACAAGUGAAAAGAUCAAAGAUCAAAUGUACAACAUGAGGACUAUAGUUAAUACAUAUUGUAUAUUGUGUUCAGGACUUUUUGCUAAAUGAGUAGAUUAUACCUGCUCUUGCCAAUGGGGGAAUAAUCAGUAACUAUGUGAGAUGAUGGGUAUGUUCAUUGUUCCACUAUAGUUUUACUAUAUAUAUAUAUAUGUUUCAUUUAACAUUGUGUUGUAUACCUUAAUAUAGACAAUAAAAUUUAUUUAAAACAUAAAAAAAAU
rnacentral:lncRNA from 1 species